CCUUAGACUGGGAUAACUUCGGAAACUGAGGAUAAUACUGGAUAGGCAAUUAUUCCUGGAAUGGAUUUUUGUUUAAAUGUUUUUUCGCCUAAGGAUGGGUCUGCGGCCGAUUAGGUAGUUGGUUAGGUAACGGCUUACCAAGCCAUUGAUCGGUACGGGUUGUGAGAGCAAGAGCCCGGAGAUGGAACCUGAGACAAGGUUCCAGGCCCUACGGGGUGCAGCAGGCGCGAAACCUCCGCAAUGUGAGAAAUCGCGACGGGGGGAUCCCAAGUGCCAUCCUUAACGGGAUGGCUUUUCAUUAGUGUAAAGAGCUUUUGGAAUAAGGGCUGGGCAAGACCGGUGCCAGCCGCCGCGGUAACACCGGCAGCUCUAGUGGUAGCAGUUUUUAUUGGGCCUAAAGCGUCCGUAGCCGGUUUAAUAAGUCUCUGGUGAAAUCCUGUAGCUUAACUGUGGGAAUUGCUGGAGAUACUAUUAGACUUGAGACCGGGAGAGGUUAGAGGUACUCCCAGGGUA
rnacentral:rRNA from 1 species